rnacentral:lncRNA from 1 species
GGAUAAUACAUUUUUUAAAUGCUUUUUUUUUCCCCUCCAUUAGGUUUCUGCCUCCUUUAAUGAACUAGACAGAACUUUAAGCUCAGGUUUGCCUCAGUUCAUAUAAACAAACAGAAUGCCUACUCUCCUGAAUGGGGGAGGUCCAGAAAAGGAUAUCAUGUCCCAGUGAUGUGGGAAGGUUUUCUGGUGGUUUGUGGCCAAGGACCACCGUCCUACAGCAAGGUGCUACAGCAAAUCAGCCACUCUGAUUUGGCAUCUCCUUUGGCUGAGUUACAGAGCAGAGUUUCUGAGGCUCAGAAUUAUAAUCCUGCUUCCUCCCCUUUGUCUAUGGCUAUUCUCAAGGAUAUUUAUUUCUUCUGGCACUCCUGAUGCUUCCCAUUGCUUGAAGCAGGAACACACCUCAUGCCGGGGAACCAAAGAUGGGAAAGGAUGCUGAGAAUAAUACCAAGCCUGACUUCCUUAUGGGUAGAGACAGGGUUUCACGAUGUUGACCAGGCUGGUUUCGAACUCCUGACCUCGUGAUCCGCUCACCUUGGCCUCCCAAAAUGCUGGGAUUACAGGCCUGAGCCACCGUGCCCUGCCUGAAUUUCUUUUUUUUUUUUUUUAAACAUCUAGUUUAGUGCAUUUUAUAAAAAGAAAGUUAUAUUUGUAAGGAAAGCUCAUAUUUUAAACAUCAAAUGUAUGAGUUAAAAUUCACAUGCAAUAAUAUUUACAGCAAUAAAGUUAUGGAGCAUUUUUUGUUGUGUUUACUCAGAUUGUAUACCUGAAAUAUGUAACCAACCUGUAUUAAUUUUCUCUCUUUCUCCUACUAUUUCUAUCUGCCCAGAAAAUUUUUUCUAUUGCAAUUUUUCCCAUCCCCAAGCAACCACUGAUUAGAGAUACUUAGUUUUCUCUAUUUUAGAAUUUAUAGAAAUGGAAAUAUAUAGUAUGCAUUGAUUUGUAUCUGGCUUAUUUUGCUCAGCAUAAUGUCUGUAAAUUCAUCUGUGUUGUGGUAUGCAUGAAUAGUUUGCUCCAUUUUAUUAUUAUAUAUUACUCUAUUGUACUAAUAAACCAGAAUAGUCUUUCAAUUCACCUUUCUGUGAAUAUUUAGAUUGUUUUCAAAGUUUUUUUUUUCUAUUUUGCAUUAGGCUAUUAUGAACAAUCGUUUGCAAGUCUUUGUGGACAUAUGUUUUUCUUGUGUCUUAUAAAUUCCUUUCGAAAUCUCUGGGUUAUGUGUUACAUGCAUAUUUAAACUUUAAAACAAACUACCAAACUGUCAAAACAGUUGUGCCAGUUUAUAUUCCUAUCCGCAAUAUAUUAGAGCUCCAAGUGCUGAGUGUCUCUUAAAGGUUUUCCAAUAUUAGAGAAGUUGUAUUAUUAUGAAUUUAUAAGAAUUCUUUAUAUAUUCUCAAUAUAAAUACUUUGAUAUAUAAUGGAUAUAAUUAUUUUCAUUCGAUGGCUUGCCUUUUUACUUUGCUGAAAAUGUUUUUAUAAGAUGACAGAAAUUUUCUUUUUUAUCAAAUAAAAUUUGUGAGAACGAUUUUAAGUAUGAAUUUAAAGGGUUUAGUAGCUACAAAGUGAUUCAGAUUUUCUAUUUCACCUUCAGGUGUGGUAAACUGUUCUCAAGGAUUUCACCUAAUAUAUUAAGUUGUAGCAUUUAUUGACAUAAAGUUGUUCAGAGUGUUUCUUCAUCUUCUUUUAUUGUCUGGAGAAAUUGUUGUGACAAACACAUUUUCACUUCAGAUACUGGCAAAUUUUGUAUCUGUUCUUUUUUAUUGUUCUUGGCUAUGGAUUAUGAUUUUACUAAGAGUUCUUUAUUUUUCAUGUAUUAUUUAUUUCAUUUAAGUCUACUCUUAUGUUCAUUACUUUUCCUCUAUUUAGACAACUGAAUUUCAGUUUUUUUCUGAUAUGUAUAUUAAAAUCUAAAAACUUUGCACUAAGUACUACUUUCUAUAUCUCACACAUUUCAAAAUAUUGUGUCUACUUUCAUGUAAUUUGUUACGUUGUGUUUUCAUGUAAUUUGUUAUGUUGUGUUUUAUAAUCAGUUUGACGUUUUUAAUACCUUUGUGAUUUCUUUUUUGACUCAUAUCUUUAGAAGUGUGUCAUUUAAUUUCCAAAUGAGGGAACUUUUAGAUACCCGUUACUGAUUUCUAAUUAAAUGUCUUUUCAGUCAAAAGUUACACUAUAAUAAGAUUGUACUUCUUUUAAACAAACAAACAAACAAAGUUUGUUUUUGGUAAAAGUUCUGUGUGCACUUAAAUACAUUGUGUAAUUGGCA